GCAGCAGAAGAAGAGAAGCUCCAUCAGAUCAUCUUCACCACCAACAUGUUCUCUGUAGCUCUGCUGCUGCUUCUGGCUGCAGGAUCCUGUGUGAAAUGUGAAUCACUGGAACAACCAUCCUCUGUGACCAUACAACCAGGUCAACGUCUGACCAUCACCUGUCAGGUCUCUUAUUCUCUCAGCAGCUCUCGGACAUACUGGAUCAGACAGUCUGCAGGGAAAGGACUGGAAUGGAUUUGUAGUGCACACAUUGGACAUGAUACACGCUAUAAAGAUUCACUGAAGAGCAAGUUCAAUAUCCACUUAGAGUCUUCCAGCAAAACAGUGACUCUGACUGGACAGAACAUGCAGCCUGAAGACACUGCAGUUUAUUACUGUGCAAGAGAGCCGCACACACAGUAACACAAACCAUCAGUAGACCUGAACAAAAACCUCUCAGACUG